UACAGAGGUCCCGAGCGUUGUUCGGAUUCACUGGGCGUAAAGGGUGCGCAGGUGGGUUUGCAAGUUCGAUGUGAAAGCCCCGGGCUCAACCUGGGAACCGCGCUUGAGACUGGCAUGCUCGAGUUCGGGAGAGGAUGGUGGAAUUCCCAGUGUAGAGGUGAAAUUCGUAGAUAUUGGGAAGAACACCGAUGGCGAAGGCAGCCAUCUGGACCGACACUGACGCUGAGGCGCGAAAGCGUGGGGAGCAAACAGG
rnacentral:rRNA from 1 species